CACGUAGGCGGAUAUUUAAGCCAGGGGUGAAAUCCCAGAGCUCAACUCUGGAACUGCCUUUGAUACUGGGUAUCUUGAGUAUGGAAGAGGUAAGUGGAAUUCCGAGUGUAGAGGUGAAAUUCGUAGAUAUUCGGAGGAACACCAGUGGCGAAGGCGGCUUACUGGUCCAUUACUGACGCUGAGGUGCGAAAGCGUGGGGAGCAAACA
rnacentral:rRNA from 1 species